CAGUCGCCGCGGUAAUACGAAGGGAGCUAGCGUUGUUCGGAAUUACUGGGCGUAAAGCGCGCGUAGGCGGUUACUCAAGUCAGAGGUGAAAGCCCGGGGCUCAACCCCGGAACUGCCUUUGAAACUAGGUGACUAGAAUCUUGGAGAGGUCAGUGGAAUUCCGAGUGUAGAGGUGAAAUUCGUAGAUAUUCGGAAGAACACCAGUGGCGAAGGCGACUGACUGGACAAGUAUUGACGCUGAGGUGCGAAAGCGUGGGGAGCAAACAGGAUUAGAUACCCCGGUAGUCCCUGUCUCUUAUAC
rnacentral:rRNA from 1 species